UACGUAGGGUGCAAGCGUUUUUCGGAAUUACUGGGCGUAAAGGGCGCGUAGGCGGCCCGCUAAGUCGAACGUGAAAUCCCCGAGCUCAACUCGGGAACUGCGUCCGAUACUGGUGGGCUUGAAUCCGGGAGAGGGAUGCGGAAUUCCAGGUGUAGCGGUGAAAUGCGUAGAUAUCUGGAGGAACACCGGUGGCGAAGGCGGCAUCCUGGACCGGCAUUGACGCUGAGGCGCGAAAGCUAGGGGAGCAAACGGG
rnacentral:rRNA from 1 species